GAUGAACGCUGGCGGCGUGCCUAAUACAUGCAAGUCGAGCGAACAGACGAGGAGCUUGCUCCUCUGACGUUAGCGGCGGACGGGUGAGUAACACGUGGAUAACCUACCUAUAAGACUGGGAUAACUUCGGGAAACCGGAGCUAAUACCGGAUAAUAUAUUGAACCGCAUGGUUCAAUAGUGAAAGACGGUUUUACUGUCACUUAUAGAUGGAUCCGCGCCGCAUUAGCUAGUUGGUAAGGUAACGGCUUACCAAGGCAACGAUGCGUAGCCGACCUGAGAGGGUGAUCGGCCACACUGGAACUGAGACACGGUCCAGACUCCUACGGGAGGCAGCAGUAGGGAAUCUUCCGCAAUGGGCGAAAGCCUGACGGAGCAACGCCGCGUGAGUGAUGAAGGUCUUCGGAUCGUAAAACUCUGUUAUUAGGGAAGAACAAAUGUGUAAGUAACUAUGCACGUCUUGACGGUACCUAAUCAGAAAGCCACGGAUAACUACGUG
rnacentral:rRNA from 1 species